UAUAUAAGCGCCAGGACUGCGAUGCAUCCGGUAUCGCAGUUGACGAGGUAAGGGUUUAUCGAAAGAUUCGGCGGAUGACCCUUCGGCCGAUAGUGGGUUGGUCGUCAGCGGCUUCUGAAAACACGGGAGCAAUCCCGCAACAAGGAAGU
rnacentral:ncRNA from 1 species